rnacentral:tRNA from 1 species
AGGAGAUUAGCUCAUCGGUAGAGCAAUCGUUUUACACGCGAUGUUGAGAAGGUUCAAUUCCUUCAUUUCCUA